GGAUCCCAUCAGAACUCCGCAGUUAAGCGUGCUUGGGCGAGAGUAGUACUAGGAUGGGUGACCUCCUGGGAAGUCCUCGUGUUGCACCU
rnacentral:rRNA from 4 species